CCGUGUUGCCAGGCAAUUUGGGAAACGCCAAGGUAUUCCAACUGAGGAGACCAAGAGUGUAAUCACAAGUCUGCAUCGGUACAGUCGAAGGAACAAUCGGGAUAUAUCGGAUUGGGUUGCCAAACACCAAACGUGGAUAGCAAUGUGGAAUCAGAAAGAGACGUUAAUUGACGUGGAGAAUAGACUCCACAAUGAUUCUGCCUACCAGAAAUAUCUUGUGUGGUAUGUGGAGCGUUGUCGGUUGAAGCUUAAGCCCGGUUGGACUAAGGAAGAGUGGUCUGAGUUGGUGUGAGAAGAUCCAUCUGCUGUAGAAGGGUAUCAUGCCUUCAACAUGGUUGUGCGAGAGACCGGAGGGAGUCAAGUGGACUAUGCACCUAUGCAUGACGAACUGGUAAGUGAAUGAAUCAGAACCAACCAGCAUUACAUUGUCUUCUUCAAUUCUGAAUGUUUGUUGUGUUAGUUAAUUGAAGGGUAGGGAGUUCGUUAUGUGCGUGAACGAUGCCAAUAUAGCACUUAGUCAUCCCCGAGAAGGUGCAUCAUCUGAGAGAACUCUUAGGACCACGUUGGAGAAGUUUAAGUCAAGGUUCCACAAGUGGGCAGUUAUGCUUUCUUGCCACGGUGCUUAGUCCGUGGACGUGUUUACAGGUUGUACAAGCCGCUCCUCUAGAUCUCGACGUCGUCAGCUGACCGUCGAUGACAUAGAAGAAGAGGAAGAAGAAGAGACGACACAGGAGCAUGAGGUAGAUAUUGAUGCUCCACAAUCGUAACAGCCGUCACAGUCCUGGAAGAAGAAGACACCACAUGCGGCGAGAAAGAAGAGAUUAAAUUCUUGGUUUCGUAGUCCGGAGUAUAAUCGUAAGAAUUUGCCUAAGGGGAUGCGGUAUAUUGAAGAAGAGGAAGACGAGGAAGAGGAAGACGA